AACGAACGCUGGCGGCAUGCCUAACACAUGCAAGUCGAACGACACCACCGGGACUGGUUGCGCAUGGGGGCGUAACGCGGCGGAAGCUGCCCGUAUGCUCCGAAUAACUCUCCUACAGGGGUGCUAAUAUCGGGAAACUUAUUCUGACCAAAGAUUUAUCGCCCUUGGAUGGGCCCGCGUUGGUUUAGCUAGUUGGUAGUGUAAAAGCCUACCAAGGCGACGAUCCAUAGCUGGGCUGAGAGGAUGAGCAGCCACACUGAGACUGAGACACGGCGCGGACUCUUACAGGAGGGAGCAGUGGGGAAUAUUGGAAAACGGGCGAAAGCAUGAUCCAGCAAUGCCGCGUGAGUGAUGAAGGCCUUAGAGUUGUAAAGCUCUUUUACACGGGAUGAUAAUGACAGUACCGGGAGAAUAAGCACCGGCUAACUCCGUG
rnacentral:rRNA from 1 species